rnacentral:rRNA from 1 species
GAUGAACGCUGGCGGCGUGCCUAAUACAUGCGAGUCGAGCGAACAGACGAGGAGCUUGCUCCUCUGACGUUAGCGGCGGACGGGUGAGUAACACGUGGAUAACCUACCUAUAAGACUGGGAUAACUUCGGGAAACCGGAGCUAAUACCGGAUAAUAUAUUGAACCGCAUGGUUCAAUAGUGAAAGACGGUUUUGCUGUCACUUAUAGAUGGAUCCGCGCCGCAUUAGCUAGUUGGUAAGGUAACGGCUUACCAAGGCAACGAUGCGUAGCCGACCUGAGAGGGUGGUCGGCCACACUGGAACUGAGACACGGUCCAGACUCCUACGGGAGGCAGCAGUAGGGAAUCUUCCGCAAUGGGCGAAAGCUUGACGGAGCAACGCCGCGUGAGUGAUGAAGGUCUUCGGAUCGUAAAACUCUGUUAUUAGGGAAGAACAAAUGUGUAAGUAACUAUGCACGUCUUGACGGUACCUAAUCAGAAAGCCACGGCUAACUACGUG